rnacentral:sRNA from 2 species
GUCUGGUUUUCCCGCGAGUCACGGACCGUCACCUCGCAUUCUGAUCUCCAUGAUUCCUUCCAACCUGCCAACCAUGCAUGAUAACAUGAACAAUCAACAAAAGGCUGACACCGCUCAAAAUAUAGUUCGCCGCCACGGCCGGCCUUAUUUGUUAUUGAUGCCUUGGCCUUUGGGGCCCCAGCUCCAUGCCGCAUACUGAGUAUUAUUAACUAUAUCUCUCGCACUUGCACUAUUUCUAAAGAAUGAAAACAGAUUGAAUCAUCAUCUCAAGUGCAAUAUUUCGCCGCCGAGAGGGGAAGGGAAACGCAAAGCACCCAGCUACCCUGAUAUUGUAUAGGAGUAGACAUGCAAAAUAACCAUUUGCUUAUCCUUCUUCUGUCUUCAAUAGAUGGAGGAAGGUGGAGAUUUCAACCAGUCUAUUUUGAGGAGCUGACUGAAUGAGUGGUUUAAAAGCUCACUUGCAUCGGAGAUGCCAGGGUUUGAAGGCAUAUGGUGACACUCAUAAACUCUGCAAUGUGAGAUCACAGCGAUCUUCCUUAAUCAAGUGAUGAAGCAUCUAUAUACCUAUGUAAAAUACUCUUACUCGAGAUAGAGAGGAUGGGAUUUCAAUGCAGUGUAUUGUCGACUCUGUACAUUGAAACACAUCACCUAUGUAUUUUACCUCCCGCCCUUCUUGUCUCCCCACUUAUCUAUCAAACUCGAUGUUCUGUCGUGUUGUCGAAACGGCCCAAGCCGCAAAAGCGUAAACUCAAACCACCA